UACGUAGGGUGCGAGCGUUAAUCGGAAUUACUGGGCGUAAAGCGUGCGCAGGCGGUUCGUUAAGUCAGCUGUGAAAGCCCCGGGCUCAACCUGGGAAUUGCGGUUGAAACUGGCGAACUAGAAUCUGGCAGAGGGGGGUGGAAUUCCACGUGUAGCAGUGAAAUGCGUAGAGAUGUGGAGGAACACCGAUGGCGAAGGCAGCCCCCUGGGCUGAGAUUGACGCUCAGGCUCGAAAGCGUGGGGAGCAAACAGG
rnacentral:rRNA from 1 species